AUGUACUUCCAUGAGGCCACUAUCCGUAACAGGCAAAGUAGGAGUCAGAGCCAGAGCCACAGCUGGAGCCGGGGCCACAGGCAGAGCAGCUGAAGGCGACAGGAACACCAGUGGGACAGGAGCACCAGUGGGAAGACAAGCAGAGCAGCCAGGGGCGCAGGUCAGAUUCCGAAGGACCCUGGCAGCAGAGUCUAGGAGGCGAAACCAGAGCAGCCUUCGGCCACCUCGGUGGUGGCACUCAUAGGACCAGUUCUCAUGACUCGGGUGAGGAGCAGGCACAGGGCUCCUGGGCCCGGAAGGGUCACAGACACUCUUGAUCAUCAGCGUCUAGCUUGGACUCUCCAAGACGCUCCCGGGGUCCCAGGGCAGCUGCCAUGGCCCUGAGCCAGCAGCAUAGCCUGCAGGAAAGACUGGGGCUUCAUGAGGAGCGCAAGCAGCAAGAAGAGCUGCUCAAGGUCUUGGAGACACCUGAGGAGAAGGGUGCAGGAAGACUGGCCAAGAAGGAAGCUAAGGAGCACAAGAAGCGCCAGAAGAUGGGCCGGGGUGGGGAGUACAUGGGCUACAGCAACACAGACAACCCCUUUGGAGACAACAACCUGCUGGGCACCUUCAUCUGGAAGGAGGCCUUGGAGAAGAAAGGCAUCAGCCACCUGGGAGAAAAGGAGCCGAAGGAGGCGACAAGAGGAUCCGGGAGAAGAACUGGCUGGAGCUGCAAAAGGUCAAAUGGCUGCGGCUAGAGCGGGAACCGGAGAAAGCCCUGCGGGAGCAGGACCUGGAGUCACUGCGGCGGGAGAAGGAGGCAGAACACUUUCAGGCCUGGGAGGAGUAGGAGGACAGCUUCCACUUGCGGCAGGCCAAGCUUCGCUCCAAGAUCCGAAUCCAAGAUGGACAGGUGAAGCCCAACGACCUGCUGGCCAACUACAUCAGUGCAGAGGAGGACUUUGAGCUGCCAGCGGAGAUGCAUGAACCCAACACUUUCCUCAACGGCCUCACGGUGGCAGACAUGGAGGACCCGCUCGAGGACAUCCAGGUGUCCAUGGAACUGGAGCCAGGCAAGAACGUGGACUUCUGGCGGGGCAUGACGACCAUCACAGAGGAUGAGCUCGCGAGCUCCGCAAGCUGGAGGCCUCUGGCAAGGGCUCAGGCGAGCGCCGCGAGGCGGUCAACGCCUCUGUCAGCUCCGAUAUACAGUCGGUGUUCAAGGGAAAGACAACUAGCUGCGGGUCGUUUUCCAGGCCAUCGAGGGCAAGGUCCGUGCUGGUGGCCCCAACCUCGACAUGGGCUACUGGGAGAGUCUGCUGCAGCAGUUGCCUGCACACACGGCCAGGGCCAGGCUCUAUGAGCGCCACCAAGAUGUUCUUAGACAGAAUCUGUUCCAACUGAAGCAGGAAAGAGCCAGAAGAGCUCACGGCUACCCACAGCCUCGAACUUGAGGAGUGGCCUCCCAGCCGGGGGACUUCAGUGGACACAGCGGAACCCGAGGCGGCCACAGUACCAAGGGAGGCAGAUGGGGAGGCAGUGCUGCUGGAGGAGGGCCUGAUCCUGAAGAGUCUGGCAGACUACGAGCUAGGCUGCUAUAGCCCGCGGCUGCUCACAGCACAUGGGCUGCCCGUGGGUGCGCACGUGCUGGAGCCGCACAAGGACCUGCAGCGCCUGCAGCUGUCUCGCCAGCAGCUUCAGGCUCCGGGUGAUGCGAGGGAGCGCUGAGGACAUCUUCUUCCGGCCCGCGAGGGAGGGUAUGGGGCAGGACGAUGUGCAGUUCAUCCUGGAGAUGCCCCUGGGCGGCAGCGCCUACCUGUGGGUCGACAAGUAUCGGCCUCACAAGCCAUGCUUCUUCAACCGCGUGCACACGGGCUUCGAGUGGGACAAAUACAACCAGACGACUCGGACAACCCUCUGCCCAAGAUCGUGCAGGGCUACAAAUUCAACAUCUUCUACCCGGACCUCAUCCGUAAGCGCGCCACGCCCGAGUACUUCCUGGAGGCCUGCCCGGACAACCCGGACUUUGCGGUCCUGCGCUUCCACGCUGGCCCACCCUACAAGGACAUCGCCUUCAAGAUCGUCAGGCGCGAGUGGGACUACUCACACCGCCAUGACUUCUGCUGCCAGUUCACCAACGGAAUCUUCCAGCGCUUCCACUUCAAGCGCUAUGGCUACCGCCGGUGA